rnacentral:rRNA from 1 species
AUUGAACGCUGGCGGAAUGCUUUACACAUGCAAGUCGAACGGUAGAGGGGCAACCCUUGAGAGUGGCGAACGGGUGAGUAAUGUAUCGGACCAUGCCCAGUCGUGGGGGAUAACGUAGCGAAAGUUACGCUAAUACCGCAUACGAUCUAUGGAUGAAAGCGGGGGAUCGAAAGACCUCGCGCGAUUGGAGUGGCCGAUAUCAGCUUAGGUAGUGGGUGGGGUAAAGGCCUACCAAGCCGACGAUCUGUAGCUGGUCUGAGGGGACGACCAGCCACACUGGGACUUAGAGACGGCACAGACGCCUACGGGAGGCAGCAGUGGGGAAUUUUGGACAAUGGGCGCAAGCCUGAUCCAGCCAUUCCGCGUGCAGGAAGAAGGCCUUCGGGUUGUAAACUGCUUUUGUACGGAACGAAACGCGCUGAGCUAAUACCUCGGCGUAAUGACGGUACCGUAAGAAUAAGCACCGGCUAACUACGUGCCAGCCGCCGCAGUAAUAC